rnacentral:rRNA from 1 species
UCAAGCGACUAAGCGCACAUGGUGGAUGCCUAGGCGGUAGGAGGCGAUGAAGGACGUAGUAGACUGCGAUAAGUCUCGGCGAGCUGUCAAACUAGCUUUGACCCGGGGAAUUUCCGAAUGGGGCAACCCAACCACUUCGGUGGUUAUCUUGCACUGAAUACAUAGGUGCCUGAAGCGAACGAGGGGAACUGAAACAUCUAAGUACCCUUAGGAAGAGAAAUCAACCGAGAUUCCCUGAGUAGCGGCGAGCGAACGGGGAACAGCCCAGUUACCAUCAAACUGUGAUUCUUAGUAAAACGGCAUGGAAAGGCCGGCCAUAGAAGGUGAUAGCCCUGUAUGCGAAAGGAUGAUCAGUGGAGUAACGAAGAGUAGGACGGGGCACGUGAAACCUUGUCUGAACAUGGGGGGACCAUCCUCCAAGGCUAAAUACUACCCUACCGACCGAUAGUGAACUAGUACCGUGAGGGAAAGGUGAAAAGAACCCCGGAGAGGGGAGUGAAAUAGAACCUGAAACCGUGUGCGUACAAGCAGUGGGAGCCUCUUCGAGGGGUGACUGCGUACCUUUUGUAUAAUGGGUCAGCGAGUUACUUUUAGUGGCAAGCCUAACCGUAUAGGGGAGGCGUAGGGAAACCGAGUCUGAAUAGGGCGACCAGUCGCUAGGAGUAGACCCGAAACCGGGCGAUCUAUCCAUGGCCAGGGUGAAGGCAGGGUAAUACCUGCUGGAGGCCCGAACCCACUUAUGUUGAAAAAUGAGGGGAUGAGCUGUGGAUAGGAGUGAAAGGCUAACCAAGCCCGGAGAUAGCUGGUUCUCCUCGAAAGCUAUUUAGGUAGCGCCUCGUGUAUCACUGCUGGGGGUAGAGCACUGUUUCGGCUAGGGGGUCAUCCCGACUUACCAAACCGAUGCAAACUCCGAAUACCAGCAAGUGCAAUCACGGGAGACACACGGCGGGUGCUAACGUCCGUCGUGGAGAGGGAAACAACCCAGACCGCCAGCUAAGGUCCCAAAAUCACAAUUAAGUGGGAAACGAAGUGGAAAGGCUCAGACACCCAGGAGGUUGGCUUAGAAGCAGCAAUCCUUUAAAGAAAGCGUAACAGCUCACUGGUUUAGUCGGUCCGCGCGGAAGAUUUAACGGGGCUCAAAUUGUGUACCGAAGCUGCGGACACGUAUAUUUCACUUUUAUGCAUUGGCAUUAGUGGCAGAGCAAUUAGGGUCAGACCCUAAUUGCUAACAGCGUUCUCAGUGCAUAAAAGGAAAUAUACGUGUGGUAGAGGAGCGUUCUGUAAGCCUGUGAAGGUGUGACCGUGAGGCAUGCUGGAGGUAUCAGAAGUGCGAAUGCUGACAUGAGUAACGAUAAUGUGGGUGAAAAACCUACACGCCGAAAACCCAAGGGUUCCUGCGCAACGCUAAUCGGCGCAGGGUGAGUCGGCCCCUAAGGCGAGACCGAAAGGUGUAGUCGAUGGGAAACUGGUUAAUAUUCCAGUACUUGUUAUUACUGCGAUGGAGUGACGGAGAAGGCUAGAUCUACCGAGCGUUGGUUGUCUCGGGGAAAGUAUGUAGGCAGAGGGCUUAGGAAAAUCCGGGUUCUUAAUGUCGAGAUACGAGACCAGUGGCCUUUGUGCCGCGAAGUGGUCGAUGCCAUGCUUCCAGGAAAAGCUUCUAAGCUUCAGGUAGUAACGAACCGUACCGUAAACCGACACAGGUGGGUGAGGAGAGAAUCCUAAGGCGCUUGAGAGAACUCGGGUGAAGGAACUAGGCAAAUUGGUACCGUAACUUCGGGAGAAGGUACGCCCCUGUCGGUGAUGAGACUUGCUCUCUAAGCUGGUGGGGGUAGCAUUAACCAGGUGGCUGCGACUGUUUACUAAAAACACAGCACUCUGCAAACUCGUAAGAGGAAGUAUAGGGUGUGACGCCUGCCCGGUGCCGGAAGGUUAAUUGAUGAGGUUAGUCUUCGGACGAAGCUUUUGAUCGAAGCCCCGGUAAACGGCGGCCGUAACUAUAACGGUCCUAAGGUAGCGAAAUUCCUUGUCGGGUAAGUUCCGACCUGCACGAAUGGCGUAACGACGGCCACACUGUCUCCACCCGGGACUCAGUGAAAUUGAAAUCGCUGUGAAGAUGCAGUGUACGCGCGGCUAGACGGAAAGACCCCGUGCACCUUUACUACAGCUUUGCACUGGACUUUGAACAUGUUUGUGUAGGAUAGCUGGGAGGCUUUGAAGCGUGAUCGCUAGAUUGCGUGGAGCCAAUCUUGAAAUACCAGCCUGAUAUGUUUGAGGUUCUAACCUAGGUCCCUUAUCGGGAUCGGGGACAGUGUAUGGUGGGUAGUUUGACUGGGGCGGUCUCCUCCUAAAGAGUAACGGAGGAGUACAAAGGUACUCUCAGUGCGGUCGGACAUCGCACGUUGCGUAUAAAGGCAUAAGAGUGCUUGACUGCGAGACAUACACGUCGAGCAGGGACGAAAGUCGGUCUUAGUGAUCCGGUGGUUCUGUAUGGAAGGGCCAUCGCUAAUCGGAUAAAAGGUACGCCGGGGAUAACAGGCUGAUUCCUCCCAAGAGUCCACAUCGACGGAGGAGUUUGGCACCUCGAUGUCGGCUCAUCACAUCCUGGGGCUGUAGCAGGUCCCAAGGGUAUGGCUGUUCGCCAUUUAAAGUGGUACGCGAGCUGGGUUUAGAACGUCGUGAGACAGUUCGGUCCCUAUCUGCCGUGCGCGUUGGAAACUUGAAGGAAGCUGCUCCUAGUACGAGAGGACCGGAGUGGACGUACCCCUGGUGUUCCGGUUGUCACGCCAGUGGCAUUGCCGGGUAGCUACGUACGGACGGGAUAACCGCUGAAAGCAUCUAAGCGGGAAGCCCCCCCUGAGAUAAGGUUUCCCUGGGGACUGCGAUCCCCCUGAAGGGCCCUCGAAGACUACGAGGUUGAUAGGCUGGGUGUGGAAGCGCAGUAAUGUGUGAAGCUAACCAGUACUAAUUGCCCGUGAGGCUUGACCAU